GACGAACGCUGGCGGCGUGCUUAACACAUGCAAGUCGAACGGAAAGGCCCUGCUUUUGUGGGGUGCUCGAGUGGCGAACGGGUGAGUAACACGUGAGUAACCUGCACUUGACUUUGGGAUAACUUCAGGAAACUGGGGCUAAUACCGGAUAGGAGCUCCUGCUGCAUGGUGGGGGUUGGUAAGUUUCGGCGGUUGGGGAUGGACUCGCGGCUUAUCAGCUUGUUGGUGGGGUAGUGGCUUACCAAGGCUUUGAGGGGUAGCCGGCCUGAGAGGGUGACCGGCCACAGUGGGACUGAGGUGCGGCCCAGACUCCUACGGGAGGCAGAAGGGGGGAAUACUGCACAAUGGGCGGAAGCCUGAUGCAGCAACGCCGCGUGCGGGAUGACGGCCUUCGGGUUGUAAACCGAUUUCGCCUGUGACGAAGCGUGAGUGACGGUAAUGGGUAAAGAAGCACCGGCUAACUACGUG
rnacentral:rRNA from 1 species